GGGGUCUUAGCUCAGUUGGUAGAGCGCUUCGUUCGCAUCGAAGAGGUCAGGGGUUCGAAUCCCCUAGGCUCCA
rnacentral:tRNA from 1 species